UACAGAGGUCUCAAGCGUUGUUCGGAUUCAUUGGGCGUAAAGGGCGCGUAGGCGGCUCGACAAGUCCCGCGUGAAAGCCCCCGGCUCAACUGGGGAACUGCGCGGGAAACUGUCGGACUUGAGUUCGGGAGAGGGAAGCGGAAUUCCGGGUGUAGCGGUGAAAUGCGUAGAUAUCCGGAGGAACACCGGUGGCGAAGGCGGCUUCCUGGACCGACACUGACGCUGAGGCGCGAAAGCUAGGGGAGCAAACGGG
rnacentral:rRNA from 1 species